rnacentral:rRNA from 1 species
GGAGAAGAACUUUCUGGAAAGAAAGACCAUAGAGCAUGACAGUUGCGUAUUCGUAUGUUGUCGAAGCAUAGUAGUAUCCUGAGUAGCGCGGAGCACGAGGAAUUCUGCGUGAAUCUGCCGGGACCAUCCGGUAAGGCUAAAUACUCCCGAGAGACCGAUAGCGAACCAGUACCGUGAGGGAAAGGUGAAAAGCACUUCGAACAGAAGAGUGAAAUAGUUCCUGAAACCGUGCGCCUACAAGCGGUCGGAGCUGCUUAAAGCAGUGACGGCGUGCCUUUUGCAUAAUGAACCUACGAGUUGCCUUUGCCGGCAAGGUUAAGUGUGACGACACACGUAUCCGAAGCGAAAGCGAGUCUGAACAGGGCGUAUAGUCGGCAGUGGCAGACGCGAAACCAAGUGAUCUACCCUUGGCCAGGUUGAAGGCUGGGUAACACCAGCUGGAGGACCGCACCAAUAAGCGUUGAAAAGCUUCUGGAUGAGCUGAGGGUAGGGGUGAAAGGCUAAUCAAACUUGGAGAUAGCUCGUACUCCCCGAAAUGCAUUUAGGUGCAGCCUUGCGGGUUACUGAUGUGAGGUAGAGCGACUGAUAAGAUGCGAGGGCUUCACCGCCUAUCAAGUCUUGACAAACUCCGAAUGCGCAUCAGUUCUACCGCAGGAGUGAGGGCAUGGGUGCUAAGGUCCGUGCCCGAGAGGAGAAGAAUCCGGACCACCUGCUAAGGUCCCGAA